UACGAAGGGUGCAAGCGUUACUCGGAAUCACUGGGCGUAAAGCGUGCGUAGGCGGUUCGUUAAGUCUGCUGUGAAAGCCCUGGGCUCAACCUGGGAACUGCAGUGGAUACUGGCGGACUAGAGUGUGAUAGAGGAUGGUGGAAUUCCCGGUGUAGUGGUGAAAUGCGUAGAUAUCGGGAGGAACACCAGUGGCGAAGGCGACUUCCUGGCCUGUUCUUGACGCUGAGGCGCGAAAGCUAGGGUAGCAAACGGG
rnacentral:rRNA from 1 species